UUAACAGGAUUAGAUACCCUGGUAGUCCACACUGUAAACUUUGGACACUAGGUGUUGGGGGUAUCGACCCCCCCAGUGCCGCAGCUAACGCAUUAAGUGUCCCGCCUGGGGAGUACGGUCGCAAGGCCGAAACUCAAAGGAAUUGACGGGGGCCCGCACAAGCGGUGGAGCAUGUGGUUUAAUUCGACGCAACGCGAAGAACCUUACCUGGGUUGGAACGGUGGUGGAAAGCCUCUGGAAACAGUGGCCCUCUUCGGACUGCCUCCGAGGUGCUGCAUGGCUGUCGUCAGCUCGUGUCGUGAGAUGUUGGGUUAAGUCCCGCAACGAGCGCAACCCUUGCCCUCAGUUACCAGCGGAUCAUGCCGGGGACUCUGGGGGGACUGCUGCGGCAACGCAGAGGAAGGUGGGGAUGACUA
rnacentral:rRNA from 1 species